AGAUUGAACGCUGGCGGCAGGCCUAACACAUGCAAGUCGAGCGGUAGAGAGGUGCUUGCACCUCUUGAGAGCGGCGGACGGGUGAGUAAUGCCUAGGAAUCUGCCUAGUGGUGGGGGAUAACGUUCGGAAACGGACGCUAAUACCGCAUACGUCCUACGGGAGAAAGCGGGGGACCUUCGGGCCUCGCGCCAUUAGAUGAGCCUAGGUCGGAUUAGCUAGUUGGUGAGGUAAUGGCUCACCAAGGCGACGAUCCGUAACUGGUCUGAGAGGAUGAUCAGUCACACUGGAACUGAGACACGGUCCAGACUCCUACGGGAGCAGCAGUGGGAAUAUGGACAAUGGGCAAAGCCUGAUCCGAGCCAUGCCGCGUGUGUGAAGAAGGUCCUUCGGAUUGUAAAAGCGUACUUUAAGGUUGGGUAGGAAGGGUUUGUAAACUUUAAGUACGGUUUGACCUAAACGUUUGAACGUUUAACCGACAAGAAUAAGCAACCGGCUUAAACGUUCGUACGACCUACGCGAGCCCGG
rnacentral:rRNA from 1 species